CAACAGAAGAAUGGCAAUUGAUACUACCAGGCUAGAGUUCGGUAGAGGAGAGCGGAAUUCUCGGUGUAGCGGUGAAAUGCGUAGAUAUCGAGAAGAACACCAGUGGCGUAGNCGGCUCUCUAGCCCGAUACUGACACUGAAACACGAAAGCGUGGGUAGCGAACGGGAUUAGAUACCCCGGUAGUCCACGCCGUAAACGAUGGGUACUAGGUGCAGGUGGUAUCGAUCCCUUCUGUGCCGAAGCAAACGCGUUAAGUACCCCGCCUGGGGAGUACGGCCGCAAGGCUAAAACUCAAAGGAAUAGACGGGGGCCCGCACAAGCGGUGGAGCAUGUGGUUUAAUACGACGCAACGCGUAGAACCUUACCAGGGCUUGACAUGCUGGUGGUACUGGCUCCGAAAGGAGACAGGACCCUUCGGGGAGCCAACACAGAUGUUGCACGGCUGUCGUCAGCUCGUGUCGUGAGAUGUUGGGUUAAGUCCCGCAACGAGCGCAACCCUUGUCCUUAGUUGCCAGCAGGUAAUGCUGGGGACUCUAAGGAGACUGCCUGUGAUAAGCAGGAGGAAGGUGAGGAUGACGUCAAGUCAUUGUGGCUCUUACGCCCUGGGCUACACACGUGCUACAAUGGUCGAUACAAUGGGUAGCAAUGCCGCGAGGUGGAGCCAAUCCCCAAAAGUCGGCCUCAGUUCGGAUUGGAGUCUGCAGCUCGACUCCAUGAAGUCGGAAUCGCUAGUAAUGGCGCAUCAGCUACGGCGCCGUGAAUACGUUCCCGGGCAUUGUACUCACCGCCCGUCACAUCACCUGAGUUGAUUGCACCUGAAGUCACUGGUCUAACCUUCNGGGAGGAAAGUGCACGAAGGUGUGAUUGUNAACACGGAUGAAGUCGUAANCAGGUAANCAUAGGG
rnacentral:rRNA from 1 species